CGAAACCAACUCAACACCCUGGCGAGCCAGAGAGCAAUCUGACCUAUGUCACUGUAAACCAUGCUAAUCAGCAGGCCUCUUCUUACAAAAAGGUCAAAAAGGAGGAGGUGACGUAUUCUACAGUCAGAAGUCAGAAGACAGAAGCAGACGAGGAUCCCAGCAGUCUCUACAGCAAUGUCAGAAACCCAAAAUAAAUCAGAGGAAAUGGGACUUCUCACAAUGACCUGUUCAUAGAUCCUGCCGUCAGAGUGUUUUCUGUCUGUUGAGGAGUGGACAGUUGGAUUUGUGCUUUGUUUUUUUUCUAGUUUUGUGUUGUACUGGCUUUGCUGAGCACCUGGUAAGGACGCCCCCCCGGGCGCCUGCCUAGGGAGGUUUUUCCAGGUUCGUCCAGCUGGUAAUAGGCCUCAGGAAGACCCAGGACUAGGUGGAGAGAUUAGAUGUCCACUCUGGCCUGGGAACACCUCGGGAUCCCCCAGUGUCCUGAUGUCCCAGACCUGAUAAACAGAUGGAUGGAUGGAUGGAUGGAUGGAUGGAUGGCUUUGCUUAGCAUUAAGAUAACUGUUGUAUUAUACAGCACACUGUUGGUCCUACUUGGUGUUCUAUUACUUAGCUGGUUUAUGACUUUUAAAAACAAAACCCAUUAAACAGAAUUGUCAGCUUGGUUGUUCCUUAUCACAAAUAUAUGUUUUUAUUGCUAUGGAUUGCAAUUUUAUCGCUAC